GACGAACGCUGGCGGCGUGCUUAACACAUGCAAGUCGAACGGAAAGGCCCAGCUUGCUUGGUCCUCGAGUGGCGAACGGGUGAGUAACACGUGGGUGAUCUGCCCUGCACUCUGGGAUAAGCCUGGGCAACUGGUCUUAUACCCGAUUAUCCCCUCCUUCCUAUGGUUGUUUGUGGGAAAUCUUUGGGGUGUUGGAUUGGCCCGCGGCCUAUCAGCUUUUUGGUGGGUUUAUGGCCUACCAAGGCGACGACGGGUAGCCGACCUGAGAGGGGGAGCGGCGACACUGGGACUGAGAGACGGCACAGACUGCGAAGGGAGGAAGAAGUGGGGAAGAUUGCACAAUGGGCGCAAGCCUGAUGCAGCGACGCCGCGUGAGGGAAGACGGCCUUCGGGGUGUAAACCUCUAGCACCAGGGAAGAAGCGUGAGUGACGGUACCUGGAGAAGAAGCACCGGCCAACUACGUG
rnacentral:rRNA from 1 species